UAGCCUUCAUAAGAGAAACACAGCAGUGUGAGAUUCAUCAGUCACUUCGUUGACCAAAGCGUGUUCUGCAAUUGAGGCGCAAAGGACAGACGGUCGCGUGUAGAAUGAGAGAACUUCAUUUCAAAGACAACUUUUGGAACACUGACAUCACCAGCACUGGUGGCUAUGACAACAUCAUUCAGCAUCUGAAUGAAGGCAGGAGGACUUGCAAAGAGAUUGAAGACUUCAUGAAAGCAAGGGCUUCAAUUGAGGAGAAAUAUGCAAAGGAGCUUCUCAGUUUAUCCAAGAAGGUGUGUGGACAUAACGAAAUGAACACUUUAAAGCGAUCCCUAGAUGUCUUUAAGCUACAAACCGAAAAUGUGGGUUUGUCCCAUCUUCAGCUGGCUCACACUAUACGAGAGGAAGCAAAAAAAAUGGAGGAUUUCAGAGAGAAACAGAAAGAAACCAGAAAAAAGACAGAACACCAAAUGGAUGCCCUACAUAAGCAAAAGGCCACGCAAUACAAGAAAACCAUAGAGUUCAAGAAGACGUAUGAGCAAAAGUGCCGAGAUAAGGAGGAAGCAGAGCAGAACAUGAAUAGAAACGCCACCACAAGCAGUGUUAAACAGCAAGAAAAGCUGUAUUCAAAAACACAGCAAGCCAAGAAUUCAGCUGAAGAAGCAGAUAACAUGUACAAUAGCAACGUGUGCUUGCUGGGGAAGAUCAGGGAAGACUGGCAGAAAGAGUAUGUCAAAGCAUGUGAGUUCUUUGAGAACCAGGAAGUGGAGAGGAUCAGCACGGUCAGGAGCACAGUGUGGACUCAUCUCAAUCAGCUCUCACAACAGUGUGUCACCAGUGACGAGGUUUGUCUUCGGCUCUCACAACAGUGUGUCACCAGUGACGAGGUUUGUCUUCGGCUCUCACAACAGUGUGUCACCAGUGACGAGGUUCGUCUUCGCCGGUGUCCAUUCGUUUGGAGGGUUUCUUCAUUUUCUACUCUACUCUACUUUCAUAUACUGUAGUACAGCGACCAGGCGUAGAGGUUGGCGAGUCAGUUGACAUAAGUGGACAUACUAUAAGAUAUAAGGACAUACUAAAAGAUAUAAGGACAUCCUAUGAGAUAUAAGGACAUACUAUAAGAUUUAAGGAAAUGAGACAAAACGUGGUCUCAAAGGCUACAUCACAUGAACAAAAGUUUUACAGUUAUAUACAAACAUACGCAUACACUCACAGUCUCAUACACACACACACACACACAAACAUGCACACAAGCACAUGCAGUUAUAUAACAUCGGAUGGUAUAGAAUUUUCCAUAUUAUCACGAGGCCAUUGGUGUAAACAUACAGUUUCUGUUUUAAGCUUGAAUCACUGUUCCGUAGACAAACCACAAGGCGAGCAGACAGCACAUGAGCUGGCUCAUAAGGAAAGCAAAUGUGGACAGUUUAUGUCAGCAUUCUUGCAAAUCACAGAGCCAAGCCAGAGAAUUAUCACAAUGUAAACAAAGUGACAACCUAUCCACCAUGUUGUAUGUCUUGGUCACGUGUUACAACUAGUGGUAGAAAUAGCUUAUAAGUCACCUUUGAGUGACCUUUGACCCUGUGUUCUGUGGGGUUUAGUUGUAUGAAGACGUGAGGAAGUCACUGGAACAAUGUAACAUCCAGGAGGACAUUGCGCACUUCAUCAACCUCAGGAGAACUGGAGACAAACCACCAGCCCCUGUACCAUAUGAGAACUUCUAUAGCAACCAGAGACUCCCUCCACCACGG